rnacentral:rRNA from 1 species
GACGAACGCUGGCGGCGUGCUUAACACAUGCAAGUCGAACGGAAAGGCCCGGCGUUUGUGGGGUGCUCGAGUGGCGAGCGGGUGAGUAAAACGUGAGUAACCUGCCCUUGUCUUUGGGAUAACUUCAGGAAAAUGGGGCGAAUACAGGAUAGAAGCUCCUGCUGCAUGGGGGGGGUUGGAAAGUUACGGCGGUUGGGGAUGGAAUCGCGGCUUAUGAGCUUGUUGGGGGGGUAGGGGCUUACCAAGGCUUUGACGGGUAGCCGGCCUGAGAGGCUGGCCGGCCACAUUGGGACUGAGAUACGGACCAGACUCCUACGGGAGGCAGCAGUGGGGAAUAUUGCACAAUGGGCGGACGCCUGAUGCAGCAACGCCGCGUGCGGGAUGACGGCCUUCGGGUUGUAAACCGCUUUCGCCGGUGACGAAGCGUGAGUGACGGUAAUGGGUAAAGAAGCACCGGCUAACUACGUG